rnacentral:rRNA from 1 species
GAGCCUGCUUAAAACCCAAAGGAUCUGGCGGCCUUCAAGAGUGUUAGGGGAACCUGUCGUAUAAUCGAUAAUCCACGCUAAUUUUAACUUAUCCUUGAACAUAUCAGCCUGUAUACCUCCGUCAUGACUUACCUUUGAGAGAAACGAAGUGAGUAAAAAGUAGGUUAAUUACCCUAUGACAGGUCAAGGUGCAGCUUAUGGAUAAAGUACAGAUGGGUUACAGUUCUAUAUGAGAUUAUUUAUUUUUAUAACGAACAAGUAAAUAAGAAUGAUCGGACUUAAUAGUAAGAGAUUCAUAAAUAUAGAUCUCUGAAAUACUCACUAGAAAGUGUACACACCGCCCGUCACUCUCGGAUCCCGAG